UACGUAGGGACCGAGCGUUGUCCGGAUUCAUUGGGCGUAAAGAGCUCGUAGGCGGCUGCUCAAGUCGAAUGUGAAAACUCGAGGCUCAACCUCGAGCCUGCAUUCGAUACUGGGCGGCUAGAGUCUGGUAGGGGGGAUCUGGAAUUCCUGGUGUAGCGGUGGAAUGCGCAGAUAUCAGGAGGAACACCGGAGUGAAGCGGAGACCGUGUCGUGGACUUAACGUACUGAGGACGAAGAACUGGGGGAGCAACAGGAUUAGAACUUACUUAGUCAG
rnacentral:rRNA from 1 species